GACGAACGCUGGCGGCGUGCCUAACACAUGCAAGUCGAACGGAAACAGCAUGAAGCUUGCUUUGAGCUGUUUUAGUGGCGGACGGGUGAGUAACGCGUGAGUAACCUGCCUUUCAGAGGGGGAUAACGUCUGGAAACGGACGCUAAUACCGCAUGAUAUAUUUUGGUCGCAUGGCCGGGAUAUCAAAGGAGCAAUCCGCUGAAAGAUGGACUCGCGUCCGAUUAGCUAGUUGGUGAGAUAAAGGCCCACCAAGGCGACGAUCGGUAGCCGGACUGAGAGGUUGAACGGCCACAUUGGGACUGAGACACGGCCCAGACUCCUACGGGAGGCAGCAGUGGGGGAUAUUGCACAAUGGAGGAAACUCUGAUGCAGCAACGCCGCGUGAGGGAAGACGGUUUUCGGAUUGUAAACCUCUGUCCUUGGUGACGAAAAAAAUGACGGUAGCCAAGGAGGAAGCUCCGGCUAACUACGUG
rnacentral:rRNA from 2 species